rnacentral:rRNA from 1 species
AACGAACGCUGGCGGCAUGCCUAAUACAUGCAAGUCGAACGAGAUCUUCGGAUCUAGUGGCGCACGGGUGCGUAACGCGUGGGAAUCUACCCUUAGGUUCGGAAUAACAGUUAGAAAUGACUGCUAAUACCGGAUGAUGACGUAAGUCCAAAGAUUUAUCGCCCAAGGAUGAGCCCGCGUAGGAUUAGCUAGUUGGUGAGGUAAAGGCUCACCAAGGCUACGAUCCUUAGCUGGUCUGAGAGGAUGAUCAGCCACACUGGGACUGAGACACGGCCCAGACUCCUACGGGAGGCAGCAGUAGGGAAUAUUGGACAAUGGGCGAAAGCCUGAUCCAGCAAUGCCGCGUGAGCGAUGAAGGCCUUAGGGUUGUAAAGCUCUUUUACCCGGGAUGAUAAUGACAGUACCGGGAGAAUAAGCCCCGGCUAACUCCGUGCCAGCCGCCGCCGUAAGAC